AACGAACGCUGGCGGCAGGCUUAACACAUGCAAGUCGAGCGCCCCGCAAGGGGAGCGGCAGACGGGUGAGUAACGCGUGGGAAUCUACCCAUCUCUACGGAAUAACGCAUGGAAACGCGUGCUAAUACCGUAUACGUCCUUAGGGAGAAAGAUUUAUCGGAGAUGGAUGAGCCCGCGUUGGAUUAGCCAGUGGGUGGGGUAAAGGCCUACCAAGGCGACGAUCCAUAGCUGGUCUGAGAGGAUGAUCAGCCACAAUGGGACUGAGACACGGCCCAGACUCCUACGGGAGGCAGCAGUGGGGAAUAUUGGACAAUGGGCGCAAGCCUGAUCCAGCCAUGCCGCGUGAGUGCUGAAGGCCCUAGGGUUGUAAAGCUCUUUCACCGGUGAAGAUAAUGACGGUAACCGGAGAAGAAGCCCCGGCUAACUUCGUGCCAGCCGCCGCGGUAAAAC
rnacentral:rRNA from 1 species